GAUGAACGCUAGCGGCAGGCCUAACACAUGCAAGUCGAGGGGCAGCACGUUAAAGAGUUUACUCUUUAUGGUGGCGACCGGCGGACGGGUGCGUAACGCGUAUGCAACCUGCCUGACACAGGGGGAUAAUCCGAAGAAAUUUGGUCUAAUACCCCAUAAUACCGAUAUAGGCAUCUAUGUUGGUUGAAAGCUUUGGUGGUGUCAGAUGGGCAUGCGUUGUAUUAGCUAGUUGGUGAGGUAACGGCUCACCAAGGCGACGAUACAUAGGGGGACUGAGAGGUUAACCCCCCACACUGGUACUGAGACACGGACCAGACUCCUACGGGAGGCAGCAGUGAGGAAUAUUGGUCAAUGGGCGGAAGCCUGAACCAGCCAUGCCGCGUGCAGGAAGACGGCUCUAUGAGUUGUAAACUGCUUUUGUACUAGGGUAAUUUGCGGUACGUGUACCGUAU
rnacentral:rRNA from 1 species